ensembl:snoRNA small nucleolar RNA SNORA23
GGUGAAAGGUGUGCAUGGUGUUGGUCUGUGUCAUGUGCUGCUGCUGGACUGUGUUUUGCUGUCUGGGCAGCAGCGCUCACUCCACACCUGUAGCCAUACAGCAACUGGAGAUCAUAGUACUGGCCCAUGGCGUCUUAAUGACAACUUAGCAUCGGCCAGCCUCCAAACUCUCCAACACUG